ensembl:rRNA 5S_rRNA 5S ribosomal RNA
AUCUUCAGCCAUACCACCCUGACCGCGCCAGAUCUCGUCUGAUCUCGGAAGCUAAGCAGGAAUGGAACUGGUUAGUACUUGGAUGGGAAAAGCUGGGCUCCUUGGCAGGUGACACUCCUCCAGUUGCCGGAGCUG